GGAGGUGAUCAGGGGAUCGCCGGCGAACCCAAACCGUUCGCGGGAGGAAAGUCCGGGCUCCAAAGAGCAGGGAGGUCGCUAACGGCGACCCGGGGUGACCCGAGGGAAAGCGCAACAGAAACGACACCGCCGAUGGCCGGUGAUCCGCGCGGCGUUGUGAGAGACGACGCGCGGGGAGGCUCAGGCAAGGUUGAAAUCGUGGGGUAAGAGCCCACGCGCGACAGCCGGGUGACCGGCGGCGGGGCAAGCCCCUCCCGGAGCAAGCUCGAAUAGGCGCGCUGUCGAGGGCGGCUCGUCCGAAGCACUCUUCUGAGUGCCAGCGCGCGGGUCAGAGCGCUCGAGCGCCGCAGCAAUGCGGCGCCUAGACGAAUGAUCCCCACCGCCGCUCGCGCGGCGGGACAGAACCCGCCUUAACGAUCACGUCUGGUU
rnacentral:RNase_P_RNA from 1 species